rnacentral:rRNA from 1 species
UACAGAGGUGGCAAGCGUUGUUCGGAAUUACUUGGCGUAAAGGGCGCGUAGGCGGCCUGCUAAGUCGAACGUGAAAUCCCCGGGCUCAACCCGGGAACUGCGUCCGAUACUGGUUGGCUUGAAUCCGGGAGAGGGAUGCGGAAUUCCGGGUGUAGUGGUGAAAUGCGCAGAUAUCAGGAGGAACACCAAUGGCGAAGGCAGCUCGCUGGGACGUGACUGACGCUGAGACGCGAAAGCGUGGGGAGCAAACAGG